CCGAUAUAUAAUUCCAGAAUUUGUUAAGUAUAGGGUUAGGGUUAGAGUUAAGGGUUUGAUUAAAGGUCAGUUUUAGAUUUUGAGUAUUCGUCUUGAAAGUCAGCAGUGUCCUUCGUCUCACAAUCUCCACCAUCAGUCUGCCUGCUCCUGCAUUACCUCCAAAUCACCAGAUGGUGACAGUACUCACCCAGGAAUCACUGUGCUUGCAAGCAUGGAUGAUGAAAGCUGCUCAGCAAUGCCCAGGACAGAGGAGACCAUCACAAAGAGAGAGGCCUCUGACAUCAUGAAGAGUAUUGGAGAGGCCACCCAGUUCAACAUCUCUCAAAUAAAUCAAGCCAAGCCGUGUUACACACCAUACUACAUCGGUAAGGACACACAUACACACACACACACACACACACACUCACACACACACACACACACACACACACACACACACACACACACACACA